CCCCCGGUCAGAGCAGCCAGGAGGAGGCAUCCUGUCUAGACGUCCUGCCUAUGUGAGGAAAGAUGGGGGUUAGUGGGUGCUGAAAGAGCACCUUUUGAGUGUUAGCCACAAUGAGUUAACAGAAAGGAAGAUGGAGGGUAUAAAGGAGGCAUCAUUCUGGAGAAGGGUACGACUCUCUAUUAGCUUCAACAACCUGUGGACUGAUGGAAGAAGAUUUCUGCUGUAGCUUUUUAGCUUGAAAUGUAUUUUUAUAUAUAUUAAACUCAUAUUUAGAUUUAUAUUAUACUCAUAUUUAGAUUUGUAUUAUACUCAUAUUUAGAUUUAUAUUAUACUCAUAUUUAGAUUUAUAGCUUGAAAUACAUUCCGUUUUUUAUUAUUCUCAUAUUUAGAUUUGUAUUAUUCUCAGUUAAAGUAAAAUUCUAGGAGGGAUCCUUAAGGUUUCCUCAAUGAUAGAAGUGUGUUAAAGUAGCUGGUAGAGUUUUUAGACGCCAACUGAGGGACUGAUCAUCCUGAGGGGGGAGAUAAAAAACAGUAUAUAAAGUUGUAGAAGGUAAGAACCUGUUUUUCUAUAUAUUAAUUACUGUGCUUCUCAUAAAGUUGUAAAAAUACAAAACAUAUUGUAUUGGCAAUAAGGGUAUAGUUAAGGGCGUUGAAGGUGUCUAUCAAUUUAAUUUACUGUUGAUGUUGCUUAUCAUUGAUUGGCGAUGUUAAUUUGUGAUUGACUGAUUGAUCUGGAAUAUUUUAUCCAUGUUUCUGGAAUGUUGAAUAAAGUUGCUUUAUUGUUCUGAAA